CCACUCCCUUACAAACUUCGCAAUAAGAGGACGAUGGGGGGAGUGGAAGUAGGGAACUUUGAUUUGAAUUUUAUAAAUGAAGUACAUAAUUGGUGUGAACUCAAAAUCGCAGGCUCACACAGAAAGAUAUCGAUCGCCAACCUAUUAUUUAUGAUAUUUUGUAGUGGUCUUGCUAAAAUUUGAAUAAAUAAAUACGGAAUACAUGAGUGCCAUUGUGAUACCCCCAGGGACGCCGGAACGAU
rnacentral:lncRNA from 1 species